ncrna:unclassified sequences L4-Archaeoglobi ribosomal protein leader
CUGAAGGCCGCGUCCGGGUCAAUUCCCCGCUGCGGGAACACCCAAUCUCCCUGCUCGUCCCCUCCGAGGUGGAGGUGCGGGCGGGAGAGCGCGUCACCAUCAG